GGGUCUGUAGCUCAGGUGGUUAGAGCGCACCCCUGAUAAGGGUGAGGUCGGUGGUUCAAAUCCCUCAGACCCACCA
rnacentral:tRNA from 1 species